rnacentral:tRNA from 1 species
UUUUUUUUAAACUAUUUAAAU